AACGAACGCUGGCGGCAUGCCUAACACAUGCAAGUCGAACGAACCCUUCGGGGUGAGUGGCGCACGGGUGCGUAACACGUGGGAACCUGCCCUUAGGUUCGGAAUAACAGUUAGAAAUGACUGCUAAUACCGGAUAAUGUCUUCGGACCAAAGAUUUAUCGCCUUUGGAUGGGCCCGCGUAGGAUUAGCUAGUUGGUGAGGUAAAGGCUCACCAAGGCGACGAUCCUUAGCUGGUCUUAGAGGAUGAUCAGCCACACUGGGACUGAGACACGGCCCAGACUCCUACGGGAGGCAGCAGUGGGGAAUAUUGGACAAUGGGCGAAAGCCUGAUCCAGCAAUGCCGCGUGAGUGAUGAAGGCCUUAGGGUUGUAAAGCUCUUUUACCUGGGAUGAUAAUGACAGUACCAGGAGAAUAAGCCCCGGCUAACUCCGUGCCAGCAGCCGCAGUAAUAC
rnacentral:rRNA from 1 species